GUGGGGAAUCUUAGACAAUGGGCGCAAGCCUGAUCUAGCCAUGCCGCGUGAGUGAUGAAGGCCCUAGGGUUGUAAAGCUCUUUCAGCUGGGAAGAUAAUGACGGUACCAGCAGAAGAAGCCCCGGCUAACUCCGUGCCAGCAGCCGCGGUAAUACGGAGGGGGCUAGCGUUGUUCGGAAUUACUGGGCGUAAAGCGCGCGUAGGCGGACUGAAAAGUUGGGGGUGAAAUCACGGGGCUCAACCGCGGAAAUGCCUUCAAAACUAUCAGUCUGGAGUUCGAGAGAGGUGAGUGGAAUUCCGAGUGUAGAGGUGAAAUUCGUAGAUAUUCGGAGGAACACCAGUGGCGAAGGCGGCUCACUGGCUCGAUACUGACGCUGAGGUGCGAAAGCGUGGGGAGCAAACAGGAUUAGAAACCCCUGUAGUCC
rnacentral:rRNA from 1 species